rnacentral:rRNA from 1 species
GAGUUUGAUCCUGGCUCAGAUUGAACGCUGGCGGCAUGCCUUACACAUGCAAGUCGAACGGCAGCACGGGAGCUUGCUCCUGGUGGCGAGUGGCGAACGGGUGAGUAAUGCAUCGGAACGUAUCCUGGAGUGGGGGGAUAACGUAGCGAAAGUUACGCUAAUACCGCAUAUUCUGUGAGCAGGAAAGCGGGGGACCUUCGGGCCUCGCGCUCUUGGAGCGGCCGAUGUCGGAUUAGCUAGUUGGUGAGGUAAAGGCUCACCAAGGCGACGAUCCGUAGCAGGUCUGAGAGGAUGAUCUGCCACACUGGAACUGAGACACGGUCCAGACUCCUACGGGAGGCAGCAGUGGGGAAUUUUGGACAAUGGGGGCGAACCCUGAUCCAGCCAUGCCGCGUGAGUGAAGAAGGCCUUCGG